rnacentral:lncRNA from 1 species
GGUCACUGCUCCGGGUGAUGUUUUGGGUCAGACCCUGCAAACUGCUUUCACAUCGAGAGCUCCCAGCCCGGCUCUCCCUGGACGGGCUCGCGUCUCCCCUCAAGCUUUCAGCCCCUGGGAGCCUGAGGGAGAGCUUGUUCCAGCAGACGGGCCCCAUCCGCUCCACCCGGCUCUUGCUGGAGCGAGGGCUGGAAAAGAGGGAUGGAGGCGAAGGGGUAUCUCCCACCCCUCCGGGGCCCCGCGUGCCGCCUGCGCGCCGCUUCCCAGCAAAUACGGGUGCUAGAACACUACCCCAGCCAUUGGAAGAUCAGAGGUUUGUGACAUGGAGGAGGAAACCUGGAGCCAGUAACACUGAGAUCAUCAGCUGGAUUGUGCCAGAUGUGACAGAGGAGGCUGGAAAACCUCAGGUAACCACUUGGACCACAGUCAACCAACUUCCUGUGGAAUCUGAUAAAGCCUGGUGGGGCUGGGAACU